rnacentral:lncRNA from 1 species
GCUCCACCACGGUGAGCGCUGUCCCCGCGGUGUCCCCUGUCACCCCGGGGUGUCCCCCAGGUGUCCCUGUCCCCCCCUAUCCCCAACUGCUCCACCACAGUAAGCACUGUCCCUGGGGUGUCCCCAAGUCACCCUGGGGUGUCCCUGUGCCCCCUGGAGUGCCCCUGUGCCCCCUGGCCCCAACCGCUCCCCCAUGGUGAGCGCUGUCCCCAGGGUGUCCCUGUGUCACCCCAGGGUGUCCCCGUCCCCAACCGCUCCCCCACGGUGAAGCUCUCGUGCGGCACGGAGACGGCGGUGACGGCCACGACGGAGCCGAGCCGCUGCGAGUACCUCAUGGAGCUGCUGACGCCGGCGGCCUGCCGCGAGCCGCCCUCGCGCGAGGACCACGACGAGCUCUGAGCCAGGGCUGAGGCUGUGUGGAUCUGCAGGGUCACGACUUGCUUCGUGCUGCGGUCAAUCGUCCUUCGCGCGCAGCUCAACAAGCAUCGUACACAGAUUAGUAUUGCAGCAAACGGAAAAAUGACAAUAAGCCCCAGAAUCCGUAUGAGUUUCAACCAAGGCCCUACAGCAAGCAGAUUCACCCAAUCAAACAGUCCCCACGAGUUUUCACCAUCCUCUUCUUGCAGCUGUUUUGUUAACUCCUUCAAUCUUGCAAUGCUUGUAUGUACUGACUCAGAAUGACCACUCAGGUUCGUACAACACAUUCCCUCAAAGUCCUGACAGCCAUG